UCAUUCACAUCAGGCCGCUACCAUUUGCUCGCGGGGGGGGGGCUGUGCGCUCAACAAAACGCACCACUUGCUGGAGUGGCUGAUGGGAAAACGGCAGAACUUACACGGCGAGAAGCGGAUGAAGAUGUAAAAACUGUGAAUUAUUUAGAUUGAUGUCAAAAGGAAUCUCACUCUCACCUCUCGUCCUUAACCCCCCCCCCCGCUCCUUUUCCCGUGCACUUCCCCACUCACCGUCUAUCUUUAUAGGAACAAUUAUUUCUAUCUGCGCCUAGAGCGCGAUACUUAGCGGAGGAGUUGCGCCAAGUCGUUAGAGGAAUUAUUAAUGAAACGCUGCUGGUCAUGUCCCCUUUUUUGUUGUUGUUGUCUGGCAGCAGGAUCAAUGGCAGUAAGUAAGAGUCCCAGCAGCACAGGUUAGAGACGCACAUGCCUUUCAGUUUCAGCGGCAGAAUCGCUGGCUGCGAGUGCCAUCUAGCGGACAGGCAGCGAGUGCAGUGAAGGCGUUACACCGCGGGGCUCCGGCACCUUGCUGCAGGGCUGAACCCGCAUUUUCUGCUGGGAGGAUAACAUUGUACGAGGCGAUGGGAUUAAAGGCUGCGUCUUUACGCAGGCAGCGCGGAAAGGGUUAAUCGGCGCAGGUAGAAAGUGCAAGCAGCCCUAGCGCAACGCCAGUCUCUAUUCAUUAGUUUCUCAUCUGCCUCUUCCCCGACUCUCAUUCAUUAGCAACAAGGGGAACAAAUUAAACCCCCCCACACACUCCCCAACUUUUCUGGCUGAGCUGACGGGGGGGAAGGGUCUGAUUUCUCCAUUAGUGACAGCUCCGGAUCAUUUCCAAGCGAAUAGUUCCCGGUCAUUUCUCUCUUUCUCUCCCCAGUCCGAAAUAAUGAAGAGAUUUUCCACGGGUCCGUGGCCAAGCUACCCCAUUGUAGGGCCAUUGAGAGAAAGGAUGUUAUUGACUAGGAACAGUGGCCUCGCCAAAUAAACUCGCCUCCUGUCUCCCGGCCACUGAAAAGGCUGAAACGAAUACGAUUAAAUCAGAAGCACAAAAACGCUUGUGAGUGAGAAUCAGUUAGAAUUCGGGGCGAGGAGAGUGAGAGGAGAGGCAGCACAGCGGCUGCGGGGAAGGCAGAGUGGGGCUACAGGGGGACUGGCUGGAGGCUACACUGCGCCGGGCGCUACCCUGGGAACUGACACUUCUCUUGCGCUACAACUCUUUCCUGGCAGCGCUACAGCUCUGGCUUCAUUUCCACUGCACUGACUGAGGAAAGGAAUUAUAUCAUUUGUCUCUACAAUAAUGGAGAUCCUAAAGUGGGAGAUUAAGUGUUUGUAUCAAUGGGAGCUGAGAGAAGAUACGGUAGGGGGAAUACUCUGGAUGAUCAUUGGCCUUUUAAGGUGAAGCCAGCAAGAACUCUCUAUUCUUCCAAAUCAUGGAUGGCUGUAUACUUAUGUACAAAGGCAGUGGAAGCAAUGAUAAAUCCAAGCGACUGAGAAAAUCAGGUAAAUGGAAGAAAAACCUCCAAUCUGUCAUGUAAUGGGGCAGAAUGAUGAAAAGAAGUACAGACCUUGGCAAUCCAGCAUAACACUCACUGAGUUAUGGAGAAAAUGUGAAGAAAGCAGAAUAUCUCUGUGGCUGUAAGCCUUGAUUAAUAAUGGAGUCUCAACAGGAGGCUGAGUAAAGUGGAUCAGUUGGUAUGGCAAGCACUGUAUGCCUACGAACUUUACAGUGAACAUUUCCUCCAGCGCAAAUCUUUUAGCUGCUAUUUUGGAUCAUUUGGUUGUAGAUAAGUCCCAUCUCUUUUCUGGUGACCGCUAUCAGCGCUGCUCUUGAAUCAUGAAUCAACGGUUGAAACUAAGCAAAUGAACUAAAUGGAUCUUGAUACAUCAACUUGGAGAAGAACAAAGACACAACACUUUCUCUCAUAAAUAUGCCAUAAGAUUUUUAUAGUUUUUUGUAACCCAUCUCUUUAUAAUCUGUCCACUCAUGUAUAACGGGUAAGUCAUUAAUAGAAGGUUGAUAACGUUUCCCCAUCCUUAAUAGUGUUUUUAAAAUAAUAUUGGGAGAAGUAAAACGUUGAAUCAAUCACAGUUCAUUUUAGGUUUAGAAUUUUUAAGAACACACUGGCCUCUUGGUCAUGCUUGUUAUUUUGCCCAAUAAGGCACGCCCAUGAAAAUGAUUAAGAUAUUAGUUAGUAUAGAUUUAUUUCCAAUUUAUUUCCAAUACUUCCAAUUUUAGAAUACCAAUAGAAACAGUAUUGAAUAUGAUGUUGCAAUUUCAACAGAAAUAAAUAGAUAUUAUACAUAUUGGCAUGCAAAAAGAACAUUAUUCAAUAUUCUGGAGGAUCAAUUAGCAAUAUAGGUCUAAAAGUAUAGGUUGCUGUGUUUUUUCUUUUAUAGGUAGGAUGUAAAUGGUUAAUAAACACACAAUCCCUAUCAUCUGUAUAGGGAAGAGGGACAUAACUACACAUUAAGUAGACCCUGUGGUUGCUGAGGGCCCAGGAGUGUAGGAUUCCCAGUAAGGCUCUAAUUAAUGUGCUAUUUCAAUAUAUAUUUGUAGAAUGGGUCAACUUACCAAUGUUUUGGUUGAAUUUUGCCAUUGGGAGGUUUUGGAAAGCAGCUAUAUGAGAAUAUAUCAACCAAUGAGCAAUAAUGAGCUAUUAAUAAUUGAUCCAAAACUUUAUAAGACUUCUAUUGAGAAAAACACACUUGUGUUGCACAAUGCAAGAAUUCAAGCAUGAUGUUCCCAUUGUGGACUUCUUUCAUAUUUAUUGGCACCUGUAGAUUUGUCUAUCAUAAGUGUAUCUAUAAUAUCAAUUUGAUGAAUUUAAUAAAGUGGGACUAAGCAAAAACAUAAAACAGAUGGUACACAGAUGGGGAAUUUACUCUUUCCUUCCUUUGUUUUUACAUCAUUAAAAUAAAUAUAACGUUUUAGCUUGA